CUGAGAAGUCAGUGAUGGCCUCCUUAUUAACUGCUCCCCAUAUUGUAGACAGUAAGCUCCGGCCUCGCUCCCGGCAGCUUGGCUCUGUCUCAAUAUUAGGCAACUCCCGCCAUUGCCCUCGGCACUGUCCUAGGUUGGCUUAUGCCACUCACCACAGAAACCUACCCUAGCUCCCAGGGUUUACUUCAGAAAUGCUCUUCUGGUAUUGGAGACCGCCCUGCAUGGUGACAGUUUCUAGGCUCCCCAACCUCUGUAUCCCUUUAAGAGCACAGCAUUGUCAUUUUCUUUGAUGAACAGGUAGGGACUGCACUACCCAAAAUGUAUUUUCUAUCUCCGAAUGAGUUGUCUGUCGUCUUUGUCUCUGCUGUACAUUAUUAAGAGAAGGUAUGAAGGAAAUAAAAAUGCCCUCAUCCUGGGAAGGAGACUUGAACUUACUUCAGACAAGUCAGUUUUCCUUACCCCAACCUAGAAUGUGAAUUAAACACUUGACCAGAAAGGAAGUCUCUCGUGUAUUAUACAAUAAAGAUAAAGAUCAGGCUUGAGUUCCUUCACCAAACUCUGCCUGGCUCAUAUUUUGGGGCCAAAGGUAAAGCGAUAAGGGAAAAAUUGUGAUGUUCUCAAUUUAAUUAUGAAAGUCAAGGGCUGGAAUGAAAAAGAAGUAAAAGAAAUUAGUGACGGCAGAGAACCAUCAAAAAAGAUUCUUCACGGUUUGGGACCUUUCCAUCCCUUCACAGUGAGUCCUUGGAUGUUACUUCCUUGAGUUCUCAAGGUACCUGCAAGAAAAAGGAUAUGUCUAAGCCCUCCACAGAUGCUCAGCCCUCAGGGGUACUCUCGGGCCUUUUCUUACCCAAAACACCAUGUAAGUCAGCCUUUCCCUCUUCCCCGACCUCUCUGAAUGGCAAGACUCCCUGUGAGCGUGAAGGAGCACAGAUUACUGUCCCGUUCCUGUCGCUGGCUGAGUGUGAAGCACUGGAACGCCACCUCCUAAAGAAACAACUCAGCAAGCUUCAGUGGGGCCUGCCAGCUCUCCUCCUCCAAAACCAGCGCCGAAUGCUGUGUGAAGCACCCAGUGAGGCUAAGACAGUAAAAACUUCCUUGGCAAGGAAGCCCUUUUUACAUCCCACCAGGGACAUCUUCCCAGAGCACGCAGGAAGGCUGCUGGAAUUCCACCUGCAGAAGCAUCUGAUUCACCUCCGCUGGGGGCUGCCCCAGAGGAUCCAGCGCUCCAUGAAUAUGCUGCUCUCCUCAACAGACCCGCAGUCCCUGCCCUGUGGCAGCAGUAGCUUACCCAAUGUGAGCAUCUCACAGCCCGGGAAACCAGAGGCCAAUGGGCCUGGUGACAUGUUCUCACUCACAGCAGGCAAAAGGGACAAUCCCCAUGCCACACUUGUUUGCCAAGACAAGGGAAAUGUUGAAAAGCCAUGUUGAUUCCAAAUGUGAACAGAUCCGGGAGGGCAAGGUCCCGGCCCAAGUCUGGAAAUCUUGGGAAUGCAAAAUUCCUGGAAGCUUAGCAACAGUGGCUCCCUUCCCUUGGAUUCCACAAGGCCAAUGCAGGAAGUUACAGGCAGAAAGUAAAAGUGACCCUGACUUACUUCACAAAGUUGUUCCCUGGAAACCAAAGACCCUCAGCCAGGAGACACAAACCUUAUCUGGUACUCUCUUUGAACACUGUAAGAAGCCCCAAUCCCUGCCUAAGGAAACCAUUAAGAAACUGGAGACAACUUUACAUCAUAAGUAUCUGGCCUUCCUGUCAGGCCUGCCUGCCCUUUACUGUGUAGCUCUCUCUAGGCCUGCAUCCCCAGCAGUCACUAGCCAACCUAGACUCAGAGAGAAGAUGCCCAAAGCUGUCAAAAGCCCAUCAAAUGCUCUGACUCAAAUAACCCCACUUGAGCCCUGCGCUCAGGAUGACAGUGGGGUGUCUGCGGACACUGCAGAAGAGUUCCAGCCUGGAGCAGAGGCGGACAGAAGGACAGAGAAGGUGCCUGCAGAGAGUCAGCCUCCCCCAUGCAGACCCUACCCAAUAAACACACAUAUCUUGGCCAAACUGAAUUUCCACCUGAAAAAAAAGAUCCUAGCAAUGCAGUUUGGGAUUUCUGAAAAGGAAAAGAGAGAAUACAAGGAGCUGGGUACAGCCGACCUAGAGAGCGAAUCCAUCCAGGAAUUUCUCAGAAGUCUACACAUGUCAGAGAGCACACUGCUUCAGGAACAGCCUGUCGCAUGCCCAUCUCUGCCAGCCCCAAAUGCAAAAGGGGUCCACCCUAAAAAACAGCCAGCUUCUGCAGUACAGGAUGUGUGUCAGGCGCAAAGGCCUCCUCCUUCCAAAGCAGUGCCCCAUAGUUCUGCCCAGCAGAGCUCCAAGGCCUCGCAAUCCCAAAGGGAUAAGACCCAAGUCUGUGUUGACAUGGAAGCUGGAGGGAAAAGGUUCAACCUAGAGAAAUCCAAAGUCGUGGGGGACCUUGGAGAAGGGGACGCAGGUCUUGGGUUUUCCCUGGUCAGUCAAAAGACACGCCAGGAUGGAGAGCAGGAGAAGAGGCUCCUGCACAGACCACUCCAGGGCUCCUCACAACAGGGUCACACCUUUCAUCUUGAGGAUGCCUGUCCACACAGUCCCCGGGAGUCCCCUGAGCUCCAGUUCCCAGACCCACCUCCAGAAGUCUUCAUGGAGACAGACUCUGAGCAGGACAUGGAAGACAGUCAAAGCGAGGAAUCCAUUGUCCCAGAACCUGAAAUUCUUUUUUCAAUAUAUUAACCCCAAGAUGAAGAGCAAAGCACACACGGAGCCAUCCACGGUCUCUUAAACAGUAAAGAAAAUGUUGAUAGGGGUCUGCCUCAUGCCAAGAGCCCCACCAAGAAAACUAAGCCAGAGGACUCCAGAGGGCCCAAGGCCCAGUUUUCGUCCUCUGAGAAGUCAGUGAUGGCCUCCUUAUUAACUUCUCCCCAUAUUGUAGACAGUAAGCUCCGGCCUCGCUCCCGGCAGCUUGGCUCUGUCUCAAUAUUAGGCAACUCCCGCCAUUGCCCUCGGCACUGUCCUAGGUUGGCUUAUGCCACUCACCACAGAAACCUACCCUAGCUCCCAGGGUUUACUUCAGAAAUGCUCUUCUGGUAUUGGAGACCGCCCUGCAUGGUGACAGUUUCUAGGCUCCCCAACCUCUGUAUCCCUUUAAGAGCACAGCAUUGUCAUUUUCUUUGAUGAACAGGUAGGGACUGCACUACCCAAAAUGUAUUUUCUAUCUCCGAAUGAGUUGUCUGUCGUCUUUGUCUCUGCUGUACAUUAUUAAGAGAAGGUAUGAAGGAAAUAAAAAUGCCCUCAUCCUGGGAAGGAGACUUGAACUUACUUCAGACAAGUCAGUUUUCCUUACCCCAACCUAGAAUGUGAAUUAAACACUUGACCAGAAAGGAAGUCUCUCGUGUAUUAUACAAUAAAGAUAAAGAUCAGGCUUGAGUUCCUUCACCAAACUCUGCCUGGCUCAUAUUUUGGGGCCAAAGGUAAAGCGAUAAGGGAAAAAUUGUGAUGUUCUCAAUUUAAUUAUGAAAGUCAAGGGCUGGAAUGAAAAAGAA